rnacentral:rRNA from 1 species
GCAAUACUUGAUGGCGACCGGCAAACGGGUGCGGAACACGUACACAACCUUCCUACAAGUGGGGAAUAGCCCAGAGAAAUUUGGAUUAAUACCCCGUAACAUAUAGAGAUGGCAUCAUUUUUAUAUUAUAGCUACGGCGCUUGUUGAUGGGUGUGCGGCUGAUUAGGUAGUUGGCGGGGUAACGGCCCACCAAGCCUUCGAUCAGUAGCUGAUGUGAGAGCAUGAUCAGCCACACGGGCACUGAGACACGGGCCCGACUCCUACUGGAGGCAGCAGUAAGGAAUAUUGGACAAUGGGCGCAAGCCUGAUCCAGCCAUGCCGCGUGAAGGAUUAAGGUCCUCUGGAUUGUAAACUUCUUUUAUAAGGGACGAAAAAAGGGAAUUCUUUCUCACUUGACGGUACCUUAUGAAUAAGCACCGGCUAACUCCGUGCCAGCAGCCGCGGUAAUACGGAGGGUGCAAGCGUUAUCCGGAUUCACUGGGUUUAAAGGGUGCGUAGGCGGGUAUUUAAGUCAGUGGUGAAAUCCUAGAGCUUAACUCUAGAACUGCCAUUGAUACUAUUUAUCUUGAAUAUUGUGGAGGUAAGCGGAAUAUGUCAUGUAGCGGGUGAAAUGCUUAGAUAUGACAUAGAACACCUAUUGGCGAAGGCAGCUUACUACGCAUAUAUUGACGCUGAAGCACCAAAGCGUGGGGAUCAAACAGGAUUAGAUACCCUGGUAGUCCACGCCCUAAA